AGAGUUUGAUCCUGGCUCAGAUUGAACGCUGGCGGCAUGCCUUACACAUGCAAGUCGAACGGCAGCAUAGGAGCUUGCUCCUGAUGGCGAGUGGCGAACGGGUGAGUAAUAUAUCGGAACGUGCCCUAGAGUGGGGGAUAACUAGUCGAAAGACUAGCUAAUACCGCAUACGAUCUACGGAUGAAAGUGGGGGAUCGCAAGACCUCAUGCUCCUGGAGCGGCCGAUAUCUGAUUAGCUAGUUGGUGGGGUAAAAGCCUACCAAGGCAACGAUCAGUAGCUGGUCUGAGAGGACGACCAGCCACACUGGGACUGAGACACGGCCCAGACUCCUACGGGAGGCAGCAGUGGGGAAUUUUGGACAAUGGGGGCAACCCGGAUCCAGCAAUGCCGCGUGAGUGAAGAAGGCCUUCGGGUUGUAAAGCUCUUUUGUCAGGGAAGAAACGGUGGUAGCGAAUAACUACUACUAAUGACGGUACCUGAAGAGUAAGCACCGGCUAACUACGUGCCAGCAGCCGCGGUAAU
rnacentral:rRNA from 1 species